GACGAACGCUGGCGGCGUGCUUAACACAUGCAAGUCGAACGGAAAGGCCCUGCUUUUGUGGGGUGCCCGAGUGGCGAACGGGUGAGUAACACGUGAGUAACCUGCUCUAGACUUUGGGAUAACUUCAGGAAACUGGGGUUACUCUAGGAUAGGAUCUCCUGUUGCAUGGUGGGGGUUGGAAAGUCUCGGCGGUCGGGGAUGGAUGCGCGGCUUACCAGCUAGUUGGUGGGGUAGUGGCUUACCCAGGCUGUGAAGGAUCGCCGGCCUGAGAGGGGGACCGGGGACAUGAGUACUAAGGGACGGCGCAGUCGGCUACGGGAGGCAGCAGUGGGGAAUAUUGCACAGUGGUCGGGAGCCGGAGGCGGCAACGCCGCGGUCGGGAUGACGGCCUGCGGGUUGUGAACCGCUUUCGCCUGAGACGAAGCGGUAGUGACGGUAAUGGAUAAAGAAGCACCGGCUAACUACGUG
rnacentral:rRNA from 1 species